GACGAACGCUGGCGGCGUGCCUAACACAUGCAAGUCAACUUGACUGAAGGAGCAAUCUGACAGUAGAGUGGCGCAAGGGUGCGUAACGCGUAAGUAACUUGCCCCAAGGUAAGGAAUAACGUCGAGAAAUCGGCGCUAAUACCUCAUAAUGCAGCGGAUCCGCAUGGAUAUGUUGUUAAAGGUUUACCGCCUUGGGAUAGGCUUGCGUCUGAUUAGCUAGUUGGUGUGGUAACGGCACACCAAGGCUACGAUCAGUAACUGGUCUGAGAGGAUGAUCAGUCACACUGGAACUGAGACACGGUCCAGACUCCUACGGGAGGCAGCAGUGAGGAAUAUUGGGCAAUGCUCGAAAGAGUGACCCAGCAACGCCGCGUGGAGGAUGAAGGUAUUCUAUAUCGUAAACUCCUGUGAGAGCAGACGAAGACAGAUUAUUAAUCUGGAUGACUGUAUGCUCAGAGGAAG
rnacentral:rRNA from 1 species